rnacentral:lncRNA from 1 species
GCACACACACACCUCCUUUAGAUAGAUGGAAUGUUUCCAAAUAUUGCACUAGAUGGGAAUUCAGGACUUCAGCCAUGGUUCUGACUUAACUAUUUUACCUUACUAUUUCAGUCUUUUGAUUUAGACUUUUUUUACAUCUCAAAUGAGGUCAUUGUAUUGGUUGAAAUUUUCUUAAUGUAUUUAAUAGCAUUGAAAUUUGAGGAGUUUAGUAAGUUAUUGAAACAAAUGGUAGUUCUUGGGAAGAACAAGGAAAGGUAACAGUGUUUUUUAAUUGUUGAUAGUCUUCAUCAGUGUUAACGUGUGACUGGCAAAACAAACAAAUACGACAAGG